rnacentral:misc_RNA from 1 species
GGAAGUAAAAGUCGUAACAAGGUUUCCGUAGGUGAACCUGCGGAAGGAUCAUUACCAAUUCAACGGUGUGGUCGCGGCCUCCGGGGGCUCCCCCCGGGCGGUAGAGGUAACACUCUUACGCGCCACAUGUCUGAAUCCUUUUUUUACGAGCACCUUUCGUUCUCCUUCGGUGGGGCAACCUGCCGUUGGAACUUAUCAAAACCUUUUUUUGCAUCCAGCAUUACCUGUUCAGAUACAAACAAUCGUUACAACUUUCAACAAUGGAUCUCUUGGCUCUGGCAUCGAUGAAGAACGCAGCGAAAUGCGAUAAGUAGUGUGAAUUGCAGAAUUCAGUGAAUCAUCGAAUCUUUGAACGCACAUUGCGCCCCUUGGUAUUCCAUGGGGCAUGCCUGUUCGAGCGUCAUCUACACCCUCAAGCUCUGCUUGGUGUUGGGCGUCUGUCCCGCCUCUGCGCGUGGACUCGCCCCAAAUUCAUUGGCAGCGGUCUUUGCCUCCUCUCGCGCAGCACAUUGCGCUUCAGAGGGGUGUGGGCCGCGUCCACGAAGCAACAUUAUCGUCUUUGACCUCGGAUCAGGUAGGGAUACCCGCUGAACUUAAGCAUAUCAAUAA